UACAGAGGGGGCAAGUGUUGUUCGGAAUUACUGGGCGUAAAGGGCGCGUAGGCGGCCUGCUAAGUCGAACGUGAAAUCCCCGGGCUCAACCCGGGAACUGCGUCCGAUACUGGCAGGCUUGAAUUCGGGAGAGGGAUGCGGAAUUCCAGGUGUAGCGGUGAAAUGCGUAGAUAUCUGGAGGAACACCGGUGGCGAAGGCGGCAUCCUGGACCGAAAUUGACGCUGAGGCGCGAAAGCCAGGGGAGCAAACGGG
rnacentral:rRNA from 1 species